rnacentral:rRNA from 1 species
ACUCAAAGGAAUUGACGGGGCCCCGCACAAGCAGCGGAGCGUGUGGUUUAAUUCGAUGCAACGCGAAGAACCUUACCUAGGCUUGACAUGGGCUUGUAAAGGCUGGAAACAGUCUCCUCUUCGGACAAGUUCACAGAUGUUGCAUGGCUGUCGUCAGCUCGUGUCGUGAGAUGUUGGGUUAAGUCCCGCAACGAGCGCAACCCUCGUGGCUAGUUGAACUGCUCUAGCCAGACCGCCUACUAAAUAGGAGGAAGGUGGGGAUGACGUCAAGUCCGCAUGGCUCUUACGUCUAGGGCUACACACACGCUACAAUGGCCGGAACAGAGCGCAGCAAGCGUGCGAACGCAAGCAAAUCGCGAAAACCGGUCUCAGUUCGGAUUGCAGGCUGCAACUCGCCUGCAUGAAGUCGGAGUUGCUAGUAACCGCGCGUCAGCACAGUGCGGUGAAUAUGUUCCCGGGGCUUGCACACACCGCCCGU